CUCUCUCACUCUCCUCAUUUUCUCAAUUUCUCUCUCAAUUGAUCUCUCCCACUCCUAUCUUUAGUCUCUUCGGUCACCUCAUUCCUCGAUUUCCCUAUAUCAGUGUAUGUGUCCCCAGAUAUCGUGAGGUUGGUGAGUGUAUCCGUGAUCCAGAAGAAAUGAAAGAUGAUAAGUGGAAGAAUAGAGUGUCUUGUUGUGAUUGUAUAAGGUGGAGAAGAUG
rnacentral:lncRNA from 1 species